GGGUUGUGAGGUUAAGCGACUAAGCGUACACGGUGGAUGCCCUGGCAGUCAGAGGCGAUGAAGGACGUGCUAAUCUGCGAUAAGCGUCGGUGAGGUGAUAUGAACCGUUAUAACCGGCGAUUUCCGAAUGGGGAAACCCAGUGUGUUUCGACACACUAUCAUUAACUGAAUCCAUAGGUUAAUGAGGCGAACCGGGGGAACUGAAACAUCUAAGUACCCCGAGGAAAAGAAAUCAACCGAGAUUCCCCCAGUAGCGGCGAGCGAACGGGGAGGAGCCCAGAGCCUGAAUCAGUGUGUGUGUUAGUGGAAGCGUCUGGAAAGGCGCGCGAUACAGGGUGACAGUCCCGUACACAAAAAUGCACAUACUGUGAGCUCGAUGAGUAGGGCGGGACACGUGGUAUCCUGUCUGAAUAUGGGGGGACCAUCCUCCAAGGCUAAAUACUCCUGACUGACCGAUAGUGAACCAGUACCGUGAGGGAAAGGCGAAAAGAACCCCGGCGAGGGGAGUGAAAAAGAACCUGAAACCGUGUACGUACAAGCAGUGGGAGCCUCUUAAUGGGGUGACUGCGUACCUUUUGUAUAAUGGGUCAGCGACUUAUAUUCUGUAGCAAGGUUAACCGAAUAGGGGAGCCGAAGGGAAACCGAGUCUUAACUGGGCGUUAAGUUGCAGGGUAUAGACCCGAAACCCGGUGAUCUAGCCAUGGGCAGGUUGAAGGUUGGGUAACACUAACUGGAGGACCGAACCGACUAAUGUUGAAAAAUUAGCGGAUGACUUGUGGCUGGGGGUGAAAGGCCAAUCAAACCGGGAGAUAGCUGGUUCUCCCCGAAAGCUAUUUAGGUAGCGCCUCGUGAAUUCAUCUCCGGGGGUAGAGCACUGUUUCGGCAAGGGGGUCAUCCCGACUUACCAACCCGAUGCAAACUGCGAAUACCGGAGAAUGUUAUCACGGGAGACACACGGCGGGUGCUAACGUCCGUCGUGAAGAGGGAAACAACCCAGACCGCCAGCUAAGGUCCCAAAGUCAUGGUUAAGUGGGAAACGAUGUGGGAAGGCCCAGACAGCCAGGAUGUUGGCUUAGAAGCAGCCAUCAUUUAAAGAAAGCGUAAUAGCUCACUGGUCGAGUCGGCCUGCGCGGAAGAUGUAACGGGGCUAAACCAUGCACCGAAGCUGCGGCAGCGACGCUUAUGCGUUGUUGGGUAGGGGAGCGUUCUGUAAGCCUGUGAAGGUGUGCUGUGAGGCAUGCUGGAGGUAUCAGAAGUGCGAAUGCUGACAUAAGUAACGAUAAAGCGGGUGAAAAGCCCGCUCGCCGGAAGACCAAGGGUUCCUGUCCAACGUUAAUCGGGGCAGGGUGAGUCGACCCCUAAGGCGAGGCCGAAAGGCGUAGUCGAUGGGAAACAGGUUAAUAUUCCUGUACUUGGUGUUACUGCGAAGGGGGGACGGAGAAGGCUAUGUUGGCCGG
rnacentral:rRNA from 1 species